rnacentral:lncRNA from 1 species
UGCUGGGUGACCGCAGGCGCUGAGGGAAGGGGCCCAGAGCCCCCUCACAUUUCCUGAAAUGAACAAUGGGAGGGACUUCUGGAAACCGCACUCAGAGAAGCCUGAGCAGAGGAGACAGCUGACUUUGGGAACAGAGAACAAAGGAGCUGAAGAUCUGGAAGAGACAGAGAGCAAGCUCUGCCAAGAGGGACAGGAGCACCUGGGCCGCCCACCCACUUGGGCCUGUCUUGGUGUUUCUGAUGCUGCCCCUUGAGGCUUUCUCGAGAAGGAAUCAGAGGCUGGGCACAUGUGACUGACAGGCAGGCCAGUCCUGUGGCUUCAGGAAUAUGCAGGAAACUCCCUACUCCCCUCCCACCUCACUGUGUGCUCCCCACAAGUGUUGGUGACCUGCUGCCCAGGAGGAGCCACCGAGGGAGGUGCACUUACAUUGCUUCUGCAGAAUGCUCUGUCUGGCCUUGAUGAAGGCGAUGAUGUCCGAGUCCGUCUGGCUGUCUCCGGUGAGAGGGAUGGACGACACUGGCCUCUUGGGGAUGCUGGAGGCAACCACGUGUCACAUUUUACUACACUUUACAACUGGACUCACCACUUAUAUUUCCAAAAUGCUUUUCCAUUUUAGGUGACUGAUCUCACUCAGAAAGCUACAUGACACGGCUGGCCUGCUUCUCACUCCCUCCUACCUUCUCUGUGUGGCAGCCACACUAAGCCUCUUGUCAUGCAAAUUGGGUCAAGUCAUUCCCUGCCAUAGACCCUGAUAUGGUUUGGCUGUGUCCUCACCCAAAUCUCAUCUUGAACUGUAGCUCCCAUAAUUUCCACGUGUUGUGGGAGGGACCAGGUGGGAGAUAACUGAAUCAUGGGGACGGUUUCCUCCAUACUGUUCUCGUGGUAGUGAAUAAGUCUCAUGAGAUCUGAUGUUUUCAUACGAGGUUUCCCCUCUCACUUGGCUUUCAUUCUGUCUUGGCUGCCACCAUGUAAGACGUGCCUUUCACCAUGAUUGUGAGGCCUCCCCAGUGACAUGAACUGUGAGUCCAUUAAAUCUCUUUUUCUUUAUAAAUUACCCAGUCUCAGGUAUGUCUUUAUCAGAAGUGUGAAAACAGACUAAUACAGACCCUUUAGUGGCUUUUCACCACUCAUGGAAUAAAACUUAAACUCUGUCCCAUGACCUACCAGGCUGUGUAUGAUAUGACCCCGG